UUAGAGUUUGAUCCUGGCUCAAGACGACCUUUGGCGGCGCGCCUAACACAUGCAAGUCGAACGGAGCUUAAAGAGCUUGCUUUUUAAGCUUAGUGGCGAACGGGUGAGUAACGCGUGAGUAACCUGCCCUGGAGUGGGGGACAACAGUUGGAAACGACUGCUAAUACCGCAUAAGCCCACGGAUCCGCAUGGAUCUGCGGGAAAAGGAUUUAUUCGCUUCAGGAUGGACUCGCGUCCAAUUAGCUAGUUGGUGAGGUAACGGCCCACCAAGGCGACGAUUGGUAGCCGGACUGAGAGGUUGAACGGCCACAUUGGGACUGAGACACGGCCCACACUCCUACGGGAGGCAGCAGUGGGGGAUAUUGCACAAUGGGGGAAACCCUGAUGCACCCACGCCGCGUGGAGGAAGAAGGUUUUCGGAUUGUAAACUCCUGUCGUUAGGGACGAUAAUGACGGUACCUAACAAGAAAGCACCGGCUAACUACGUGCCAGCAGCCGCGGUAAAACGUAGGGUGCACGCAUUGUCCGGAAUUACUGGGUGUAAAGGGAGCGCAGGCGGAUCGGCAAGUUGGAAGUGAAAACUAUGGGCUCAACCCAUAAAUUGCUUUCAAAACUGCUGGCCUUGAGUAGUGCAGAGGUUAGGUGGAAUUCCCGGUGUAGCGGUGGAAUGCGUAGAUAUCGGGAGGAACACCAGUGGCGAAGGCGACCUACUGGGCACCAACUGACGCUGAGGCUCGAAAGCAUGGGUAGCAAACAGGAUUAGAUACCCUGGUAGUCCAUGCCGUAAACGAUGAUUACUAGGUGUUGGAGGAUUGACCCCUUCAGUGCCGCAGUUAACACAAUAAGUAAUCCACCUGGGGAGUACGACCGCAAGGUUGAAACUCAAAGGAAUUGACGGGGGCCCGCACAAGCAGUGGAGUAUGUGGUUUAAUUCGAAGCAACGCGAAGAACCUUACCAGGUCUUGACAUCCGAUGCAUAGUGCAGAGAUGCAUGAAGUCCUUCGGGACAUCGAGACAGGUGGUGCAUGGUUGUCGUCAGCUCGUGUCGUGAGAUGUUGGGUUAAGUCCCGCAACGAGCGCAACCCUUAUUGCCAGUUACUACGCAAGAGGACUCUGGCGAGACUGCCGUUGACAAAACGGAGGAAGGUGGGGAUGACGUCAAAUCAUCAUGCCCUUUAUGACCUGGGCUACACACGUACUACAAUGGCGUUUAACAAAGAGAAGCAAGACCGCGAGGUGGAGCAAAACUCAAAAACAACGUCUCAGUUCAGAUUGCAGGCUGCAACUCGCCUGCAUGAAGUCGGAAUUGCUAGUAAUCGCGGAUCAGCAUGCCGCGGUGAAUACGUUCCCGGGCCUUGCAC
rnacentral:rRNA from 1 species